UGGGGAAUAUUGGACAAUGGGGGCAACCCUGAUCCAGCAAUGCCGCGUGUGUGAAGAAGGUCUUCGGAUUGUAAAGCACUUUCGACGGGGACGAUGAUGACGGUACCCGUAGAAGAAGCCCCGGCUAACUUCGUGCCAGCAGCCGCGGUAAUACGAAGGGGGCUAGCGUUGCUCGGAAUGACUGGGCGUAAAGGGCGUGUAGGCGGUUUACACAGUCAGAUGUGAAAUCCCCAGGCUUAACCUGGGAGCUGCAUUUGAUACGUGUAGACUAGAGUGUGAGAGAGGGUUGUGGAAUUCCCAGUGUAGAGGUGAAAUUCGUAGAUAUUGGGAAGAACACCGGUGGCGAAGGCGGCAACCUGGCUCAUGACUGACGCUGAGGCGCGAAAGCGUGGGGAGCAAACAGGAUUAGAUACCCUGGUAGUCCACGCUGUAAACGAUGUGUGCUAGAUGUUGGGUAACUUUGUUAUUCAGUGUCGCAGUUAACGCGUUAAGCACACCGCCUGGGGAGUACGGCCGCAAGGUUGAA
rnacentral:rRNA from 1 species